rnacentral:siRNA from 1 species
CAGAGAUUUCUAAGGCCAAAGCU